CGUGUAGGCGGCCAAUUAAGCUAGGUGUAAAAUGUUACAGCUCAACUGUAAACCCGCAUCUAGAACUGGUUGGCUAGAGGAUGAGAGAGGAAAGUGGAAUUCCUAGUGUAGCGGUGGAAUGCGUAGAUAUUAGGAGGAACACCAGUGGCGAAGGCGGCCUACUGGGCACCAACUGACGCUGAGGCUCGAAAGUGUGGGUAGCAAACA
rnacentral:rRNA from 1 species